UCUAGCUUUCCCGAGAUACACUGAACAAGCGAACGCUGCACAUCUGACACACUGGCCGCACUCCCCAGCGCACCUGUGACAUCAUCUGUGACCUGAUAAUGAACUCACUCAUCCUUCCCAAGGCUUCUCAACAGUUUUCUCAAAAGAAAAAAAAAAAGAGCUUGAAUGAAGUAGUCAGCUGGGAAUGAACAUACCUAAAGCAAGGAGAAGGGUAACGUGAGGAAGAGGAGUUUUCUUUUUAAAUUCGUUUUAUUUGUUAUAAAAAUAACUAUGUAUUUCUUUUACUAUUUAAAACCAUCAAACAAGGAAAAAUUUCAAGAAUGUAAGAGCAGAUCUCUUUAAAAGAUGCAGGAACCGUGGCAAGUCCAUGCUUACCAACAGCCCCGACCUCAGUACAUUCAGCCAUGUCACUGUGACCCAGGCCUGAGCCCAGAGGGGAAGCCACAGUCUCUGCUAACCCUGUGACAGGUACACCUGCCAGCAACCUGGGUAUCAGUGAACACCAAGUGUGGCAGGGCAUCCCUGUGGAACCUGGGAACCUGCUGUGGAGAGCUCUUAAGGCUGCUUCAAGGAAAUUGGCAAGAACAUCUGACACUGGGCUAAGACAAGGAAGUAAGCUCAAGAAAAACACAGCUGAGGAAUGUACUCCUUGUAUCUUGAUCAUCUUGAUACAGUGACGGGGACCUUUGCUUAUGCCUUGCUUGUCCUUGACCAAGAACUGACCCUAUUCUCUGCAUGUACUUAGAAUGGUAUAAAAGCAGACUGGGGAAAAAUAAACUCACUUCAGUACUUGCUGGAGUCAUGUUAUAAUGCCAAA